rnacentral:ncRNA from 2 species
UAUCUUUGCAUCGCAAUAGGUUCAUGCGAUUGAUUAAAAGGGAAUCAGGUGCAAGGCCUGAACUGUCCCGCAGCUGUAAAGGGCUCUUUAUGGAGAUGAACACAAGCCACUAUCCUCUUGGAUGGGAAGGCGUUCAUACUUGAGUCUCAAGUCAGAAGACCUGCCGUUGCCAUUCAUAUACU